GGGUUUGUGGCCCAGUGGUAAGGCGCCUCAUUUGCAUGAUUGGUGCGUUGAGGAGAUCCAGGGUUCAAUUCCCUGCGGAUCCA